rnacentral:rRNA from 1 species
CCUANGGGAGGCAGCAGUGAGGAAUAUUGGUCAAUGGGCGAGAGCCUGAACCAGCCAUCCCGCGUGCAGGAUGACGGCCCUAUGGGUUGUAAACUGCUUUUCUGCUCCAAGAAACCCACCUACGUGUAGGUGGUUGACGGUAGAGUAGGAAUAAGCAUCGGCUAACUCCGUGCCAGCAGCCGCGGUAAUACGGAGGAUGCAAGCGUUAUCCGGAUUCAUUGGGUUUAAAGGGUGCGCAGGUGGGAAUGUAAGUCAGUGGUGAAAUACUGCCGCUUAACGGUAGAGCUGCCAUUGAUACUGCGUUUCUUGAGUAUGGUUGAGGUAGGUGGAAUGUGUUGUGUAGCGGUGAAAUGCAUAGAUAUGACACAGAACGCCGAUUGCGAAGGCAACUUACUAAGCCAUUACUGACGCUGAGGCACGAAAGCGUGGGUAGCGAACAGGAUUAGAUACCCCGNUANUC